UUGUUCGAGGGGAAAUACCUUACUGCUAAUACUAAUUUAAAUAACAAGCUUUCUUGCUAGGGAUGCAACUGCCUGAAGAAUAUAAACGAACCAAAAACUUUCCUCGGCAAUAUGGACCCCUGGUUUAAGAUCUUCAAGAUCGAAUUUUUCUUUCUUGCGGUGAAAACAUUGACCAAAGCCAUUUGCAACCUUAGUUUGAGACAUUAUGUCUUAUGACGAAUGUUGCCGAUAGACAAGCGAUUAAAUUCAACUAAUACUUUGAGCAACGAAGAUA
rnacentral:lncRNA from 1 species